rnacentral:lncRNA from 1 species
CGCACCGCAAGGGGCCGGGGCCCAAAGGCGCGGUCCAGGAGUCCGGGGUGGUCGGGCGUGGAGCCACGCGACUCCUCGGGCCGGGUGCCGGCUGGGCGCCCGCGGGGACUGGCCCGGCGCCACGCGCGGUGGCAAGUAGGCCUGAGGCUCUUGCUCCCGCUUCACGGAGCAGCCGAGGUCCACACUCGUUUAUAAUGCCAACCGCGGGCGCAGCUGCCUGUCCGAGCUGGCCUGUCCGUUUCCCGCGUCACAGGCCCCGCUUGCUUCCGAGCAGUCUUACCUUCCUGUGUCCAAGGACCUUGCAUGCUUCGCCAUGAACUCACAACGAGGGAACGCUGGCUGCAGAGAGGGGCAGAUCUGAGUAUGAAUCCUGGCUCUGACACUUAUUAGUCUGUGACCUUGGGUAUGUCACUUAACAGUGAUGAAAAUUAGUUACUCAUCUGUGAUGAGCGAAGAUGUCUGCUUUCCUUACUUAUGCAGUAGCUGUGAGGAUUAAAUGGAAUUUUUCAGUGCCUAUGGCAGGUAUGUGUGUGUGUGUGUAUAUAUAUAUAUUUGUAUAUAUAUGAUUUUUUAUAUUUUAAUUUUAUAUUUUUAUAUUAUAUAUAUAUAUAUAUUUUCCCCCUUUGGUAAUUAAAGCUGUCUACUCAUUGUUCCCUGAAGGCACCUACCUCUUUUGUGAUUUUUUUACCUUCACAUACAGCUCAUGCCCAUUCUGCUUCUUACAUUCCAUUCCACUCAUAACACCUUUCCCUCUCUUCUCUACCUCAGAUCUUAACUGCUGUCUGAAGUCAGGCUUGACUCCACAUUGCUUGUCAAGAACCUCUUGACCCUUCCAGACCAGGUCCUUAUUUUCUGAAGGAGCCAUCAGGGGUCUGUGGCAUUGAGGUUAUCACUGGAGAAGCCCUCAUGGUGUUGGAGGGGCCCCCGGAAUGUCAGCUUUGCCCAGGAGAUAAGCAAUCCUCGGGGUGUCAGAGCAGGGGAAGCAGUGGGAUCCCAGCUCUGGGAUGGGGAUUGGGUGAAACAAUGGAGACGCUAAGUCUAAGCAGAGAGAAAUGACACUGGAAACUGCUGGCUAGAGUCCUGUUCUUCUGCCUGUCACUUUUUUUUUUUUAAUGGACAAAUUAUAUGUGUUAUUUGAACAUCAGUUUUCUUAUCUCCAAAUUGGGUUCCAUACAGAAUGUUUUCUUCCCUCUUAUCCUUCCUGAAAAUGUAAAGUCCAGAGAGCCAGAGCCUUGUUUUAUUUUCAAUGUAGUACUUAUGUCCAGCUCUUAAUGUACUACCUAACUCCUAGUAGGCACAAAAUACACAUGUUGAAAAAUGAAAUGAGUGUAAAAUAAGAAAACAUAGGUGUACAUGUUUGUAAACUUCAGUAUAAAACAAGUGGAAUGUAUUUGCUCACCACCUCCAACUUAGCAUAGAUCUCUGUAUGGAACAAUCAUAUAGUUUAUGUUAGUUGAUAGGCUUCAUAUCUUAUAUGGAAUGUGGAGCAUAUGUGAGGUUGUUUUAAUCAAAAUGUGGAGUCUCUGACAGCAGGGUAAUGGAUUUCUUAUGUCAGACCAGCGUCUAUAAAUCUUGCCUUCAGGUAGUCUAACAUCAAAAGGCAGAUAGGUACUAUGCAUGCCUCUAUCUGCCUUCUCUACACUCAAGGGAGGGAUUGCUGAUAGUGAUGAGCCUGGACAUGGCCUCCACAUUCUUGAAUAAAACCAUUUUACAGGUGGCUGCUACCA